CGUAGGGUGCGAGCGUUAAUCGGAAUUACUGGGCGUAAAGCGUGCGCAGGCGGGCUUUUAAGCCAGACGUGAAAUCCCCGGGCUUAACCUGGGAAUGGCGUUUGGGACUGGGAGUCUGGAGUGCGGCAGAGGAGACUGGAAUUCCUGGUGUAGCAGUGAAAUGCGUAGAUAUCAGGAGGAACACCGAUGGCGAAGGCAGGUCUCUGGGCUGACACUGACGCUCAUGCACGAAAGCGUGGGGAGCAAACAGGAUUAGAUACCCUGGUAGUCCACGCCCUAAACGAUGUCGACUGGUUGUUGGGGGUUUGACACUCUCAGUAACGAAGCUAACGCGUGAAGUCGACCGCCUGGGGAGUACGGCCGCAAGGUUA
rnacentral:rRNA from 1 species